AACGAACGCUGGCGGCAGGCUUAACACAUGCAAGUCGAACGCAUCGCAAGAUGAGUGGCAGACGGGUGAGUAACGCGUGGGAACAUACCCUUUUCUACGGAAUAGCUCUGGGAAACUGGAAUUAAUACCGUAUACGCCCUACGGGGGAAAGAUUUAUCGGGGAAGGAUUGGCCCGCGUUGGAUUAGCUAGUUGGUGGGGUAAAGGCCUACCAAGGCGACGAUCCAUAGCUGGUCUGAGAGGAUGAUCAGCCACAUUGGGACUGAGACACGGCCCAAACUCCUACGGGAGGCAGCAGUGGGGAAUAUUGGACAAUGGGCGCAAGCCUGAUCCAGCCAUGCCGCGUGAGUGAUGAAGGCCUUAGGGUUGUAAAGCUCUUUCACCGAUGAAGAUAAUGACGGUAGUCGGAGAAGAAGCCCCGGCUAACUUCGUGCCAGCAGCCGCGGUAAGAC
rnacentral:rRNA from 1 species